rnacentral:tRNA from 1 species
AAGAUAUUAAUAAAAGCGUUAAUUAUAAUACUUUGUCAAAGUAUAGUCGUAGGUUAAACCCCUGCAUAUCUUA